ACUGCCGACUCACUGCCUGUGAGUCGGACAGCCGCCGGAGGCCGUUGUGACGCUGCCCCCUUACGCGCCACUUCGGCAAAGCUGCUCUUAGGCAGGACGGGCAUGAGCGCGAAUAUGCAGGAUGCUCGCCAUCACAGUUGACACAAUGUGGAGUUUUCUGGCAUGUUUCGGAAGAAUGUUCAUUGUCACUGCACUUGGCACAUGUCAGGCGGCCUCGACAGUUCUGUGAACUGUGGCCGAACCUUUGGCACUUAAAGCAUCUGAGAGGAUUGGGAACGUAUGGCCGAACACGAAGUUUGAUAUAACCAGCCUCGACGGACUCGGGGAGGACACUUGAACCGAAAUUUUCAUCAAUAACGAUUCGUGCAACAUCUAUGUGUACCGAAAGGACUUACUCCACAAACACUUCCUUCUCCAUAAAUCGUCUACAUUUCAAGCACUUGAACGAUAACAAGCACUACAUUGAAACUGUUACUAAAUAGAUUCCCUAAAUAUGGCAUACGCUAUAGAAGAGUCAGGGAUAGCGCGUAUUCCAGAUGGACUACAACAAGAAGAGGAACCGCAAUUGUACUUUUUUAUUUUUAACGUACAGGUCAUACGUUUUUAAACAGGGAUAAGGUGCUUCAGUAAGGCUGGACAAAGUUUUGAUAGGAGAACCUUAGUCAAAGGCGGCCUUGUCAUUCUCGCCAGAUUAGUUAUAACAUACGUUACCCGCGGUCCUGGUCAGUGGCGUCUGGCUGUACAGAGAGCGAGAGACUGAAGAGGAUAUAAGCGCUGUCGCUUGGCAUCACUAGGCGUGGUGCCAUGACAGAUAUGACACGAGGUCGAGUGGAGGAACACGGUAAAAAAGACGAGGGAGUUAAGAAGCCUUCAGAGUUCUCUGUUUGUAGAAUUGCCAUAAAUUUGUUGAUGACAUGGAA